GCCAGCAUAGCAUAGUGGUUUGAGUGUUAGACUAUGACUCUGGAGACCAGGGUUUGAAUCCCUGCUCAGCUG